GGAAGGGGGCGCGUGCUUACCAUGGCAGUCGAACGGGGAUGCUUAUGGAAGGAGUGCUUGCACUUUGGAAAUGAGUAUCUUAGUGGCGGACGGGUGAGUAACGCGUGGGUAACCUGCCCCAUACCGGGGGAUACCACCUGGAAACAGGUGCUAAUACCGCAUAAGCGCACGGGAGCGCAUGCUCCUGUGUGAAAAACUCCGGUGGUAUGGGAUGGACCCGCGUCUGAUUAGCCAGUUGGUAGGGUAACGGCCUACCAAAGCGACGAUCAGUAGCCGGCCUGAGAGGGUGGACGGCCACAUUGGGACUGAGACACGGCCCAAACUCCUACGGGAGGCAGCAGUGGGGAAUAUUGCACAAUGGGGGAAACCCUGAUGCAGCGACGCCGCGUGAGUGAAGAAGUAUUUCGGUAUGUAAAGCUCUAUCAGCAGGAACGAGACAAGACGGUACCUGACUAAGAAGCCCCGGCUAACUACGUGCCAGCAGCCGCGGUAAUACGUAGGGGGCAAGCGUUAUCCGGAAUCACUGGGUGUAAAGGGAGCGUAGACGGCUGAGCAAGCCUGAAGUGAAAGGCGGGGGCCCAACCCCUGGACUGCUUUGGGAACUGUACGGCUGGAGUGCAGGAGAGGUAAGUGGAAUUCCUAGUGUAGCGGUGAAAUGCGUAGAUAUUAGGAGGAACACCAGUGGCGAAGGCGGCUUACUGGACUGUAACUGACGUUGAGGCUCGAAAGCGUGGGGAGCAAACAGGAUUA
rnacentral:rRNA from 1 species